CUCGCAGCAAGCCGCAAGUACCCGUCUACAAAACAGGUUCAAGCCUCGCGCGCGAGCCUGGGACACCAAUGCGGGUGGGAAAUUCGGUGGUUCUCCCCAUCCCGCUUUCCCUUCCAAGGGAAAGUGAACGUUUUGCUCCUGAGAGCUUCCUGGGCGUAGAAAGUUACGCCGGGCGUCGCCAUCAGAAACUUCGUCUCCAAGCAGCGCUUCGCUGGCUUGUGGGCAUGGGAGGCGGCGCGGAUGGUUGGUCUUCUGUCCGUUGGCGGGACCUUGUUCUGCCCUUGGAUGGAAAGGCUGUUGAGUGCAAUUUGCGGCCCCUGGCACCCGAUACCGAUCAAUGCUGCGAG
rnacentral:RNase_P_RNA from 2 species